rnacentral:misc_RNA from 1 species
AGUCGUAACAAGGUUUCCGUAGGUGAACCUGCGGAAGGAUCAUUACCGAGUGCGGGUCCUUCGGGGCCCAACCUCCCACCCGUGUCUACCGUACCGUGUUGCUUCGGCGGGCCCGCCGCAAGGCCGCCGGGGGGCGUCCCCCCGGCCCGUGCCCGCCGGAGACCCUGUGAACGCUGAUCUGUGAAGGCGUGUCGUCUGAGUCGCGUGAGAAAUCGUGAAAACUUUCAACAACGGAUCUCUUGGUUCCGGCAUCGAUGAAGAACGCAGCGAAAUGCGAUAAGUAAUGUGAAUUGCAGAAUUCCGUGAAUCAUCGAAUCUUUGAACGCACAUUGCGCCCUCUGGUAUUCCGGGGGGCAUGCCUGUCCGAGCGUCAUUGCUGCCCUCAAGCACGGCUUGUGUGUUGGGCCGCCGUCCCCGCCCUCCGCGGGGGGACGGGCCCGAAAGGCAGCGGCGGCGCCGCGUCCGGUCCUCGAGCGUAUGGGGCUCUGUCACCCGCUCUGCAGGCCCGGCCGGCGCCCGCCGAGUCAACCACUUCUUUCCAGGUUGACCUCGGAUCAGGUAGGGAUACCCGCUGAACUUAAGCAUAUCAAUAAGCGGAGGAA